GCGCGUGGCCUAGCCAGGAUAUGGCGGCAGCCUCCUAAGCUGUAAAUCGCGGGUUCGAAUGCAUGUGGUGCA
rnacentral:tRNA from 2 species